AGUCGGUAGAGCAUGAGACUCUUAAUC
rnacentral:piRNA from 7 species